rnacentral:misc_RNA from 1 species
CCCCUGCUUUCCUCCCCUGCUGAAACUGCUUUCCUCCCCUGUGCAGUGUACAAGUGAAAGAAAUCAAAGGAUUAAGGUUUAAGGAUGUCAUCAGAAAAUGCAGCUACACCUUCUGAAACUGAAGCAGCUAGAGCGAAUCUCCUAAAAAGAAAUUCAGAUGAUGUUGGAUGGGAAUAUGGUGUUCUUGUUGAUGCUAACAACAAAGACAAGGUGAAGUGUAAGUUCUGUGACAAGGAGAUGAGGGGAGGGAUUUAUAGGUUGAAGGAACAUCUUGCCCAUGUUGGAAAGAUACACACUAAGAAGAGAAAUAGGCUGACUACAACCCGCCUCAACAAGUUGGUCUAUAUUCAGUUCAAUAACAGGCUGAUGAAUAACAGAGAAAAGAUUAAGUCAAAGAAAAUCACUGAUGUUCUCUUGUCUAGUGAUACAACUGAAGCUCAAGGUUUUCUCCAAGACGGUGGAGAUGAUUGUGCACAAGUUGUCUUUAGAGAUGAGGAGGAAGAUGAGAUGGAAGGUACAGGGAUACCUUGGUCUGUUAUUGGAGAGGCAGUGGGGGCAGAAGAACAGCUUGAGCCUCGUAGAAGUGCAAGAGUGAGAGAGCUCUAUGAAGGAGAAGAGUUUGAGUCUGAAGAAGAAGAGUAUGAAGAUGAAGAUUUGUGCUACAGUGAAGAUGAAAUAUGAUCUGGACCAUCUCCAUGUAGUAGUGAAGCCUUUUGUGAUGCCCUGGUCUUAUGAACUGCAGCUGUGUCACUUUGUGUCUGUGUGUCUUCUUUUGUGUGAGACCUGAACUAAGAACUAUGUGCUUGUGUUGUCCUUUAUUUAUAAAUUGUGUUCUGCACUUGUAUUACUGUCCUAUCCACUUGUGUUGUAAUUACCAGCUGCUGAUAUGGUGUGCAGUGUGCUCAACUGCUCAUGAAUGGGAGGCUGCUGAAAUCAUCCAGAUAAGUCACAAUUUAGUGUUUUCUAUUUUUUAUGAACAGGAACAGCUAGCUGUCUAUUGACUAAUUUACUAACUACUAGCUGUCAAAAUGUGUUGCAGCCUUGCAGGAGCUAGGAACAUGCAAGACAGCAAGAGUAAGCUCAGCUAGGAAUCAGAUAUGUCUACUGGCCUUCUUUUUAUACUUACUGUGAGUCUGUGACUCAUAUAGUCAUAUAUAGUAGUUAUAUACGUAUAUAUAGUUAUAUAC